rnacentral:rRNA from 1 species
UUUUAAGAUCUAACACUGCNCCGUCGUUUUCAUGCCUUCUGCGUCGCGAUGGUGAGCUGCUCUUUGAGUGCGGGGCGGGUGAUCCGUGGGUCCUGCCUACUAGGGAUAACUCCAGAGGAAACCGGAGGCUAAUACCGGAUAAUAUUUUUGCACUGCAUAGGUGCGAAAUUGAAAGGCGGCUUCGGCUGUCACUUAUGGAUGGACCCGCGUCGCAUUAGCUAGUUGGUGAGGUAACGGCUCACCAAGGCAACGAUGCGAUAGCCGACCUGAGAGGGUGAUCGGCCACACUGGGACUGAGACACGGCCCAGACUCCUACGGGAGGCAGCAGUAAGGAAUCUUCCGCAAUGGACGAAAGUCUGACGGAAGCAACNCCCAGACGUGAGGUGAUGAAGGCUUUCGGGUCGUUAAAACUCUGUU